GGAAGAAAAAAUUUCAGAAGCAGAGCAUAUUUCUACAACCAAACUUGGAGCUUUGAAAUUUAAUUGAUUUUCUGUUGUUGGCUUAUUCGUACGGCGAAUCCUGUAUGCAGCUUGGUAGAUAACUUCUCCAUUUACAUUAAAUCACUCAGCAAAUGAAGUUUGCAUAUGCUUUUAUUACAUGUUGCCUCAGAGCUAUACUGGGCCACUUUCUCCGGAGGACAACAUUGAAGAGGUUAGUGAAACUUGAAUUUCCUGCUAUGGAAGAAAGUUACAAAUAGAUUCAAAACUGAAAUUCUACAAGGCAAGAUGAUGAAUUUACGAUUCUCCCUGCAUAGGCAUGCGAGGAUUUUCUUCAGAAUUCAUACUUGAUUUUUAAAUGGCUGGGCAGUAGAUUUAUUUCUGAGGCACAUAAAUUUAGUUAUCGAAGUGGCUUUAAUGCUUUGUGGUCUACAAGAGUGAGAAUGUGACCAGCUAGAGAAGAGAAGAAGAUUGCAACAUAUUUUUCUCUUUAUCACUCGUCUGAGUUUUGGUUUGACUUUCCAUAUAAGCUCUCUGUUAUAUUUUAUUUUUCUGGAGAUAGUGUUGUUCGGAAGUUUGACAAUCAUCCCAAUAUAACAUC